UACGUAGGGGGCUAGCGUUGUCCGGAUUUAUUGGGCGUAAAGAGCGUGUAGGCGGCCAGGUAGGUCUGCUGUGAAACUCGAGGCUCAACCUCGAGAUGUCGGCGGAACAUCUGCUAGAGUCCGGAGAGGAGAGUGGAAUUCCUGUGUAGCGUGAAUGCGCAGAUAUCAGGAAGAACACCCGUGGCGAAGCGGCUCUCUGGACGUACUGACGCUGAGACGCGAAGCGUGGGAGCGAACAGG
rnacentral:rRNA from 1 species